rnacentral:misc_RNA from 1 species
GAUGAAGAACGCAGCGAAAUGCGAUAAGUAAUGUGAAUUGCAGAAUUCAGUGAAUCAUCGAAUCUUUGAACGCACCUUGCACUCCUUGGUAUUCCGAGGAGUACGCCUGUUCGAGUGUUAUGAAGCUCUCAAAACGCAAUUGGCUUAAAACCUGAUUGUUGUUUUGGAUUUGAACUUUGCCGUGUUAUAACGGCUGGUUUUAAAAGUAUUAGCUGGUACUAGAACGAAUUGGUUCUACUCAACGUGAUAAUUAUCUGAUCGUUGAGGACAUUCCUUUCACGAGGAAUGGCCAUAGUAAAUUCAAUGGACUGCUUCUAAUCUGGCUUUAAUUCUUGAUUGGAUUAACCACUUUUCAAAUCUGACCUCGAAUCAGGUGGGACUACCCGCUGAACUUAAGCAUAUCAAUAAGCGGAGGA